AUAAUCACCAAGUGUGCUAGGAUCAAGUCUCACACAUAUGAUGACACAUGGCACAGAAACGAAUGUCACGUCUUUAAUAUAUAACAGAGUUAUAUACAAAAUAAUUAAAUAAUUACAUCAUACUAAGACAAUGAUCCAGCAACCAAAGUUGACUGGGAGACGACGACCUAGACCACUCACAAAACUCAUCACAGCAUCCUUUAUGCUCCUCCUCCAGUGGUACCUGUCCUUGACCUGGGGAUGUGAGUACAGCAAGGGUGAGCUCACAUACGUUCAUCGCUCAACAAGUUGUGGGGAAUAAUGUGCAUGAACUCACCAAAGGUGGGAGCUCAUGUGAAGUGUAAGGCUUAACAAAGGAGAUGAUUAAAGCUGAGCAUUGCUUUUAGAGUUGGUCAAAAUUUUAUUAGCAGUUACUAAGUGUAAGUAGAUACCGACCCAAAUAAAUAAGAGAUCACAAUUAAUAAUAACACAUGCGAUCAAUGCAUAUGACAUAUUAAGUUUAGUUCCAUAAAUUAAUCAUGUGAGAGUCUUGAGUCGCUCUUGGCCGUGAGCACGGCUGAUAUAGCAGUUUUACACUCUGCAGAGGUUGCACAUCUUUACCCACAAGUCGUGUUACCCAUUUGCCACGGGGUUGUACGGACCUCAUACACCUCUACCAAGGAAGCGAGGCAGGGUAGCACUACGAGGCCUUUCCAAAGUUCCACUAGUUCGAGAAAACCCGCUACGGAUUCAGGACGAAGGAAGCAUAGGAAUCCCUCGUACGAAAAGCUUUACAGACAGUUCGACCCGAGGACCUCCCUAUACUCUAGCAGCGAUGCCUCCUCGCUUGCCCCUACCCGGGUAAGGUAAUCUCUCCCUAGCUUUCCUAAUUACUUGACCAAGGGCGUCCCAUUCCACCCUUGUGGUAGCACUGUUUACUCAAGUUAAGCUCCAUGUUCCAAUUAACACAAUGAUCUUGUCAUAAAUAAUAAUUAAAACAACAGUAUAACUGGAACAUGAUCAUAAUGUAAUAUUAAUCCCAAAACCAGGUAGAGCAAUAGCAAAACUACCCAAAAGUUCAGUGGUAAACAAGGUGUGGGAUAAACAAUACUAGGGAAACCUAUUAGGUCCCAUCAAAUCAACUUGAGCAUGUCACAGUGAUUAAUAGGAACAUUAUUAGGUAAAGAAAAGUGAUCAAGGGCACAACUUGCCUUAGACUCGAGAUUCCUAGGUACCAACUUGGUCUUCAAGUGUCUCGUAACCUCGCUGUUAUUCAUAGCAAUACAAACCAACAUGGUAUAGGAAAAAUUAACAUUACACCGAACAUAAGAACAAACUGCAUAAUAAUGUUCUACGCGUUGUAAGUAGAUCGUAGUUUCGAGAACCACUAAAUUCAGAGUUACAGUUAUAAAGUUAUGAUUUUCUGAAGGUUUAAGUGGCUACUAUAAAACAAAUGAGGUACAAGAUUUUAAUCAUAGGUUUCAUGGUAAUACAAGGUUACUAGAUGAUAAACAAUAUUAUUAUGAGUCCAAUGCAACUAGAAUGGGCUAAAUCAGAGUUAAAAUGCAUUAGUUAUGGAUUUAUGAAGUUUAUCAGUCAUUUGGGUAUUAUUUCUAUACUGAUUUUAUAUCCUAGAGGCUAAUAUGCAAAGUCCUCAUUUAAUUUAUUUUCUUUACACUGAAAAAUGGAUGGUGGGUUAUUACCCUAAAUCUGAAGGGCCCAUUUGCAAAUGUAGCCGAACUGUUAUAGCUGCGGUUGCUUACGACCGGGUCUCGAGAUCUAUGGCAUAGAUUUAAUUAUCCGAAGGGGUAUCAGCUGUUCUAAUUGCAAGCAUUCAUCUACUAUCGAAAGGUCACCAUUUAAUGAAUUGAAGAUCUCAUCUACACCGCCGGUUUAUGGAUCUAUGGCUCGGAUUGGAUCACGCCGAAACGCUACCUUCCCCCAAUCUGAUUCGUCCAUCCUAUCAUCAACGGCCAACAUCUUUCUUCCACCUCCCGCACCCCACACGCGGCAACGCCGCUGAUCUGAGGCCAAAACCCUGCCGGAGACGCGCCCAUCCGAACUUCAAGGGCCUGAUCCGAGCGCUACCGAGAGCAGACGAGGGCGAAUGCUGGCGCGAACAUGAAGGGGGGCAUACCAGUGCAUUGUGCGGCGAAAAUCCCAUCCGCGGAGCAGUGCGGUCCCCCGACGAAGCUUCUUCACCGGCGAGCAAUUGCCAGUCCCCCGAUCGGUCACCCCUCCAAACGACGCCACAGACACAUCCGCCAGGGUAGGCCGAGCCUCCCCGGCCGCGUUCUCAACACGGACGACAGCACACCUUCCGAUUGGCCAGAGGUGGCAUCCUUGACUCCGCCCAGUAGCAACUCUCCCUCAUACGUUGGCGUUCACGCUCGGCACGUCUGGUUGCAAGGAACGGGUGGCUAGGGGAGGUGACCCUAUAUCGCAGAGACGAGGGGAGAGUCCGCGCGGUUGAU
rnacentral:lncRNA from 1 species